rnacentral:rRNA from 1 species
UUUCCAACAGAACUGUGUUAUUUUGCACAGGGCUUAUGCUCGUGCUGUUCCGUCCGAUCAAUGUGUGCACAGGAUGUUCUAUGGGAAUUAGGUAUAUAUGUAUAUCAAUAUAUUCGGACGUGUUUAGGUGUGUCGUAGAGCAGAGUUUGCCUCAAUUUUUUCCCCUUUAGAAAUAAUAUCUGUUUUCUUUUUGUAGGUAAAGGCUGCAUGCUUCGGCUUGGGCUUUCAAAAGGAGAGCUCUGCUCUCCUCUCCUCUCUUUGGGAGCCGUGCGGAGGCCGCUUGCGCUGUGCUACCACCUCUGAGCGGCCUCGAGGCGGCGGUUCGCGGGGAGGAGAUGCAGUGGCGGGGGGCCGAGGGGGAGGCGGAGGCGGGGAGGGGGCUUCGCGGGGUUCCGCCUUAGAGGUCGCAGCGGCUGCAGCAGACGCGGGCCUUCCCGGCUCCUCCUAAGCCUCCGCCGGCGCCGGUGGUCCUCGCGGCCGAACCGCCUGCUGCGGAACUGUGGCCGCUAAUUUCUAGUUCCUCCCCUAUUCGCCCGACGACCACGACGACUCUCGAGCGCAUCCUCCUUCCUUUGCGGUGGCGUCGUCGUACGCCGCGGUACCCGGUUCGACGAGAGCGUCACGAGAGUCUCAGGAGUAGAAGGAUAGUCACAGGGAGUUAAAAGACAACCGGUUUCGUUUUCUACAUUAGAUAACAACUUUCUGGUUAGACAGUCGUUUUAUGAAACGUUCGACGCCGUGCAACUCGUUCCUCCAGGCACGCUCAAUCUCCAAUAUCCGCUGUUCCCGCACCAGGAUAAUUUACCUUCCCGGCAUUUAGGUCCGUACUUUCAAGGGGAAUGACCUCCCCUACUUCAGCAUAAGUCAAGUACGCCGUUUGUACGAAUAUAAAAAGUCGUAGGAAACUUACUAUUUCAACGAUUUCGCCACUGUAGUAGACGGCAACCGGAAGAUCUUAGAGGUCAACGACCACAGUUCGUAUAGGUAUACCUCUUGUCUUGUCUUCAGUGAAGCUGACAACACCCCUGUCUCUACAAUCGUAGGCAUAGCUCAGUUAGCUUCCUGGAUGGUCGUCACGGUGGACGUAGUCGACUCCUCCUCUUAGUCUCUCAUCACGUUGGAUAGUAUAGUAGACGAAGACUAUUUAGUUUUCCCGUGACGUAGUCGGGACUAUUCCUUACGCUCUUACCCCUUUUGUGAUUACUCCGAUUAAGAUUGUAACUUCUGAGAGGUUACCUACACCAACGUUGGGGGUAUUGAGGACUACGACAACCAUUACUGUGCUCAGCUGUUUUACCGAAACCUAGACUACGAGUAGAACUACUUUAGCCAUUCUAACGUUGAAUAUUCUAUUCCGGUCAAGACUCCUACUAACGUCCCAGUUGACAUAGUCUCAAGCUAAACUGACCACUAGAAAAAUUUCGAGAACUUCUAGUCUCCCUAGAGUAGUCCCUAGAAUUGUGCAGUCGGUCGAAUGGAGGCUCGUCUACGGUUCGGAAAUUCCUGCGCUACUUUGUUCCUCAAUAAUCAGGUUCACUAUAACUUCAAUGUAAACUCUUAAAAGGGAUGAUAGAAUCGCUCUUAUGCUUCUUACACGAGAAUAGUACAAGUAAGGAUGUAAACCUUUUCUUCCUUAAGUAAUUCGUCAAGAGGCUUUAAAGUAGUUAUUUGGUCGCUUAAAAUAAUAGACCAGGUAGUCCAAGACUCUAAAUAGUCCUUUGUAACUAUUUCCGUGAACGGUUUGUAAAACCACGAUCUGAUGAACAACAACUAAGUGAGGACAACGGACCCCACGGAAGUUUCCUGGGUCUUUGGGUCUUUCUACAACCGUUCCGACUAUUCAGUCCCCUGUUCCGUCCACCACUCUUUAACUGUUAAGAAGUAUUCGUAGCGAGAAGGAACCGUCUGUGUUACGUGAAGUCUUCUGGUCGACGUGGUUGAAGGUCACACUUACGACUAUAACACCCAUGUAGGUGAGAUGUAAGACGUUGAAACGGGUUUGUCCUCAGGAGUUGUCGAUGUAGGUUCCCGAUAUGAAAAUCUCUUCCCCUCUCCCACUCCAUACACCCAGGUCGAGUCGGUGGAAGUCCCUAUGUAGCCCCGGGUUCAAUGCCAAUAGCUCCGUCUCACUACGAACGAAAGCUUCUUUUACCUAGCAGAUUUUAACCUCAGGCUAAGCUGUUCGUCUAGGGACUACCAUUGCUAGAACCACCAAACACACUCCUUCUAGUACCGAAGAAGACAAGACGACUUAACGAGGCGGGUCUAAAAAGACCAUCACUUCUUCAACUUUCCGACCGAUACUGGCUCAAUUAACUCCAGUAGAGUCUUCUUUCGUUUUAACCAAGAGACUAUCACAAUGAUUUCCUACAUCUCUUUAGUAAGUGACCUUAGUGUCUUAGUAAAAGUAGAAAUUCCUUGUUUGAACUUAACGAAGGUGGACCACAAGACUAAUAUCCUAGGGUGUGGGUCUACCUGUCGGCAUUUCUCUUCCGUGUAGGACCACCUAAAGAAAAAUGCUUCAAGCGAUCAUCGUCGGUCUGCGAGAAGCUGGAAAAGGGUCUGUCGAAACCAUCAGCCAACGUACUUUCCUUGUUUCUUUCGGGCUUCCGUUACUUUGUAGAUUUAUUUGAAAAGGGCUUGUUUUAAAGGUAGGUCGAAGGUGUCCUGCUUCGUAAUGAAUGGUCAACCUUCGUUGUUAACCUAGCACUACAACUUUGGGAAUUUCGUUUUAGAUUGUAGCCAUCGUAAGCAUGCAAAAACUUAGCGUCACGCUAGCUUACGUCACUGGAACUUCUUAAUAAGUAAUUUCUAGUCAGUGACUGAUUACUUUUACACCUGUUCUAACAGCCCAUGCGACAGUCAAUAGUAGAAUUCGUGUUAUUUCAGCUUUGGAGGUUCCUGCCACUUGAAUAAUAGUGCUCACCUUCGGAAUUCGUACCGGAGCUGUACGAUGUCUCGUAGGUAUCACUAUUGUUCUCGAGUUUUUUUAGCAAUUUCCUACAACGGUGUCUCUUGCUCAAACUCUUUUCUGAAGACCGUCUACAAUAUGGUGGCUUACUAUAACCUCAGUGGAAACUACUAUAACCACGCAACCUCUUACAUUUCCUUUGUAACUUCCUCAACCACUACGAGGGUAACGUUUCCGGCCUUAACAAGACGUUUCCCGUCAAUUGCUUCGGAACGUUCCCUUAUAACGAGAAGCCCGGAGGACCGUGACCCUUUUGAUACGAACGAUUUCGUCAUCGUUGACUUCGUCCGCGGUUGAAGUAGUUAUAUAGUUACAGUUCGUAAUGUAGCUUCACCAAACCGCUUCCCCUCUUUAUACACUUCCGACAAAAAAGUAAUCGUUCAUUUUAUAGGGGGUCACAAUAAAAAUAACUACUCCAGCUAUCAUACAAUCCUUCCUCUCUUUUAGGACCCCUCGUACUUCGGUACGCGUUCUACUUUUUACUUAAAUACCAUUUAACCCUGCCCAACGCUUGCUUUCUAUUUCUUGCACAUGACCAAGAACCACGGUGUUUAUCUGGAAAACUGGACCUGCUCCGACACUAAUCCUCCAAGGGGGCGUCCGAUUACCAUUUAAAUGGACUGCGUAGUUUAUCUCUCUUUUAAAACUUUCAUUAAAAUCGUUUUCUUCUCAACCCUGUUCUAUGACUAGACCUCAGUGAACGAUUAUACUGACUACCUAUAAGUCCUUCACUGGACUUCUUAGAUACACAUUGACGUCGCGUGAUGGGGUAAGCUCUUUAGGAUCUCUUCCUUUUCUUCCUCUUCUUACAACGUUUCAGUCUUCCAUCCGGACUCGGACGUAACGUACCUUCGCUCCUGCAGGCAGGAGAAUCAAACCUACUGAAGUUUAGACGGGUACUCGUCCAAACGCGCUCGCACAGUAGACUAAGCCGUUUGUACUUACUCGAACAAGUUACCUUGCUGGAGAUGCCGCUUCCUCCAAGUUCCUUCUUCUUUCGUGACUCGAUGAAGUACACUCUCGUUCUUACACGGUAUAACAUGUCAGCGAUAUGAUGGGGAGGGAGGAGCCGUCCACGUAGAACCGCUGAACAGGCCGGUUUUGGUCAGCCCAAAAAGGAGGAGAGGGAAAGUCCUCGUCGCCGGCGGAUGGUAGGACUAGGAGGAGGGAGGACACAUUAAUUUUAACACGUGGCUCAGACCCAAUAAAUAGUCGAAGACAAACAAGGAUAAUUGAAGUUUUUUCUCUUAGGAGGUAGGAGGAGAGAACUAGUGGAUGGACAAACGUCGGUUAACAGCAACUCGAACCGAUAUCUGGGGAACACACGUGGAUACAUGUACAAAUUACCUUCCCGUACCUUAUUCUUGGAAAAGGAGAACAUCUGUCAGACUACUAAGAACGAUUGCUAUCGGCCGGUAUCUAAACUGAAAAAAAACCAUAAUAGUAAAAAAUCCCUUACGGUAAAGAUCGAAAUAACUUGAAGUUUUUGACUAUGCGUG